GCCUCUCAGUCCGACAGAUAUGGUGACCACUGCCAGGUGCAAGAGAAUAUAACUUACUGCAGUUGCAGGCGAUAAGCCGUGUGUUGGUGGCGGACACUGUGACGCUGGGACGCUACUUGUUGGAGGAUGUUAACAUGAUUCAUUCGCUACAUAACAAGGUCUGACAGAACACGUUCUUCAUCCAAAUAGACAAAUUCAGCCAAGAAGUUCAGCACCUCGUUUGUGGAAUGGCAUUAUUUUUCGUUCGAAGCUCAUUAUAAAUGGGAGCGCUUCAGGAAUCUAGAACAACUAGUGGUGAGAAAAGGUUAAGUUGUCCUUGUGCUCAACUAAUUCAGCACUUUGCCAUGAAGGUGUAUGGAAAACUGGAAACUACUAGUGGUAGAAAUACUAGGUACAGCAGAUGCUGCUUGCUGUGCUAACUCCAGGGCACAGCUUACUGGAUAAAAAUACCGAUUGUUAGCAAUAAUCAGUUGAACAAGAAUGCAGCUGUUCCCUGUCAUCUAUUGGUCUAGAACAGAAAUGUUUGUGUAAAACAGUGGAAGUGGACAGAAUGAAAACUUUAAAAUUAAGCAAUACAAUUUUACCUGUUCACUAUUUCUUCGAGAAAGUCUUCAAUAAAAAUGAAACUGUUAUAGUAUUUCUGGAAAUCCUUCGA